rnacentral:lncRNA from 1 species
CCGCCUUUGUCUGCUGCCCUCGCCCGAGGGCCGGAGCGCCUGGGCUGCGGCCUGCCCGCGCGGGCAGCGAUGGCGCCUCCCGCCAGCGCGGCUGGUCUCCCUUCCCCAGCUCGCGGCUCUCGGGCCCUUCCUCAGGGACAGCAGUGAGCUUCAGCCCGUGAGUUAACCACGGCCGCCGCAGAGCCCCCGGAGAGCGGCGAGACAGGAUCGGAGGCAGCUUCUGAACCGCUUCUCACACAGAUCUGUUAGCUUCACACCUAGCGCUCACCCCGCCAGCCCAGCCCAUGAAAAGCAAGCUUGGGUGCUUGUUCACGUGGGCUAACAUGGUCCUGCGAUCGCUUCGUCAGCAGAAACAACUUGACUCAAAUUCUUGUUUCAGAAUGAACACCCAUGCAUUUUUGGUAAAGAUUUUAUUUGCCAAACAUUUUCUCAUCUCUAAAGGAAGUUCAUAGACCUGUAUAAACUUUGACAAGCAAAGGUGAUCUCUGACCCUUGCGAUAAUGGAGUCACAGCAGAGACAAAAGUCCCAAUGUCACAGCUCCCACCCAAGGAUGUUUUUUUGGUUACUGAUCUGUUUGCAAGUCCAGAGUAGACAGAUGACUCCAGUGCCAUACAGAUGUGCCAGACAGAGGAUGGAACAGUGCCACAGGACUACUUUGCUUGCUGUGGCAGGAAUACAAAUUGGCGAUGGAUUUUGUGCUAAAUGGGGUCGGCCAUAG